CACGAAAUAGGGCGAGCUACCUAAUAAUAAUUAUUAGAUUAUAAGAUGUUACAUAAUUAAAUAAAUUAUUGGUUAGUAGUGAUACACUUUCACGUACUAUGAUAACUUGUUAUUCUUUAAAAAUAUUAAGUAUUAUAAUCAAAUAAGAAGUGAUAAGGUUUCUUAUAAAUAUUAAACUAUAUUAUAUUUAUUUUUAUGGUAUAACUACCAAACAUAAACUAUUAGAAUAUAUAUUAAUAUUAGAAUUAUAUUCCAUAAAGGAUCUCAACCUAAUAAAUAAAUUGUAGAUAAUGUUACUAUAAGUAAAUACUCUAAAUAUUAUAAAUGAACUCGGCAAUAUUUUUUUCAACUGUUUAUCAAAAACAUAGUCAGUAGUUAAAAUUAUUGAUAUUUUCUGCUCAAUGAAGUUUAAAUAGCCGCAGUACCCUGACUGUGCUAAGGUAGCAUAAUCACUUGGCUUCUAAUUAAAGUCUAGUAUGAAUGAAUAUAUGGGGAAAAACUAUAUACUUAAUAUAAAUCGAAAUUACUUAGUAAGUGAAAAUACUUACUUAUAAACAAUAGACGAGAAGACCCUAGAAAUUUUAAGAAUUAAAUUAAUAAAGGUUUUUGUUGGGGCAACAAUGUAACAAUUAAAUUUACAUAGGAACAAGAAAGUAAUAGAAAGAAUAAAUUACUCUAGGGAUAACAGCGUAAUGUUAAAUCGUUUGCGACCUCGAUGUUGGACUAGGAAUUAUUAGUCCAGAA
rnacentral:rRNA from 1 species